UAGGGCAAUGAGACAUCAUUAAGUGCCGCAGGGGUCAUAUCUGCUGACUUUGAAGGCGGCAUGAGGCCAUCUGAUUCACAUGAGGUUUCUCAGCUGAAUG
rfam:Desulfosporosinus meridiei DSM 13257, complete genome.